CCCUGAAACAUACCUACUCUCUGAGUAAUUCAUACUCAGUGAGAUUCAAACUGACUAACAGAUGACCAGCAGUGUAACUGUCCACUCAAACUGAAAGGGGAAAAAGUACUAGAUGUUAAGAAGCUGAGGGUAUUGUGAAUCUUCUCCUGAGAUCCAGUGUGGGUAGAUGAUUUUUUCUUUUCAUACUUGAAGUCAGUAUUAAAAGAAAAAAACUACUUUCUGGGAUGAAUUCUUCCUCUGUAUUAUUUUGUCCCUGUGGAACAUGCAGUAUAGUGGCUUGCUGAAGCAUGUUAUACCGUCCCAAUCCUGCCAAGAUAACAGGUCACUGAUGGUUAAGAAGGUAUGUGAAUAUAAUCUGCCAAACAGGCCCUCUGGGAACAAAGGACUGAAUACUAAUGAAAUCUGCACUUUAAGUACUAUGCACCAGUUCCAGUGACUAUUAGAUGAAAGAGCUAAUGGGAUGUUAGUUGCUUUAUAUCUGCAACCUCUCUCUGUACCAAAAACUGAAAAAGGUACCAAAUAAAAAUAUACGCCUUCAAGGAUGAUUCCUUCCUAGCCAAUAGGAGUGUUCUCUUUUCAUGUGCAGCCUAUUUUCUUUAGCUCUUCCCUGUUCAGAAGCAUCAUGGACUUUGUAUUCAACUUCCAAAAGAAUGCUGAAAGAAUAGGUUAUUCUUCCUUGAUAACAAGUGCAAUAUGGCCUGGGAUGUCAGAUAUGUCAGCUCUGACAACUUCUGACUCAUGGUCCAGUGGAGAGCAAUCAACAUCAUACUGUUCUGUUUGAUCUUCUGUACCGCUCUGGACAGUAGUGGAAUUGGACAGAAGCUAUAAUAGAGAAUUGGGAUGACCAAUCCAAGGAGAUAUCCACUGUUGCCACUUUCUGGAGGUCCUCUCUGUGGAGAGGUUUUGCAACUUUUGCUGACACUGAAUACUGUUUACUAAACCAAAAAGGGACUAUUUGUCUCAUCCAGUUCUCAGUCCAACUGAGAAAUCUACGAGCAGAAGAGGCAUCAUGUUCCUGUGGAAGAAGAGGGCCCCAGACUGCAGAUUGUCUCCGUACUUUCUGCAAACUUUUGCUCCAAUACUCCAGCUAGAAGACGUGCAAGUCUGUAUUGGGAAGCAAGUGGUGACAGAAGACAUAUCAAAGUAGAGCUAUUGCUGGUGAAAUUCCAAGACAGAAUUUAGCAGAUGGAGAGAUGUUUUGAGCUCCAAUCUCUACAAUGGAUCCAGAUACUUGAAGGAACAUAGAUGGGGGUAGGCUCUCAAAUGAAAGGGUUUCCCUGCCUCCACUGAUCAAUGAAAGGGGAGCCAGACCAUACAUAAACUGUAGCAAUUUUUAGGAGAGUGGGGGGGGAGGGGUGUAAGAGUGGCAGCUUUCCUUACACAAAAAUGAUGUCAUGGAAGGUCUUAGGGGUUUUUUGUGUGUAUUGUGGGGGGCCUGGAAGGGAGGCAGUAGUAGGGAACAGUGGUACUCAAGAAUUUCUCCAAAGUCUGCCUCCAUACUAAAAUCUUUUCCAGCCUAGUGUGUUAACUGCAUUUGCCUCUGAGACAACAUUGCUACUGGACCAUCAGGCAGCUGGAAACACUUGUUCAUCAGAGCACCUCUGGUGGAUUGUAUUUUGGGUUUUGUACAUGUAUUUUAUUUUUAUUUUUGUGUAUUAUAGCAUUUAUCUGCAAAACCAGCUCCAAAACAAACCAGCACAGCAACACUUAUUUACCAGACUACAAAAACUGCUUAAGCACUACAAACACCAUUGUUUAACAUUCACUGUACUGAGCAUUUUAUUUCUGUAACUGACUUAGAAUGAUUAGAUCCGUUACCAAAUCUAUUUAAAUGCAACUCUUUUGAGGUUAAGUGCAAUUUUUACAACCGGUAAACCAUGCUUACAGUUGAAUAAUUUAAGAGAGGCUAAACAUUUGUUUUCACAUUCAGUAUUAAAGCUUUCAGUUCAAUACUGUUUUAUAGGUCAGACCCACACAAGUUGUCACAAACAACAGCUGAAGGUCUGAAAAGGAAGUUAGCACUAAUUUGGCUGUAACACAGUGUAUGUCUUUCCCUCAAGCCUCACCAAAUCCCCCAGAUAUCCACCAUGAGAGUUCUAUUGUAUGUCCAGGAGAGUAUAUGGUACGAUUCCUCCCUAUCCUCUUCAAAAAUGUGCCAUACAGCUCCAUAUGGUAGAUCCCAACUACAGACUGAGCACAUACUAUACAUCUCUUAAGAUCCCCUUUCUAUUCAAAAGCAAAUGAUAAAUUUACUACAACAAACCUUUUGCAUAUUACUUAGAACCGUAUUAAGGCCAGUAUUUACUUACAAAGCUUCAGUCUAAGAAUUCCCACAUUUAAGAAAAAUUUGUCGUCAUGUUCAUACACUAUCUACAGGAAAUGUCUAUUUUACAUGACAUCUAGGUCAGUUAGCACACUUGAAAUGGUGGCUCAAUAUUUCCAUUUUAAACUACAUUUUCUAGAUCAGAUGGAAACUCUGUAAAACUGAGUAACAUAAUAAAUGUACUCAGUAAUUCUGGCUGUUAGUGAAAUUAUGUACAUGUUUAGCAAGGUUUUUAUUUGGAGAAGUCGGCAGGCAGAGAAACCACCUUUUUUUACCCAAGACUGUCAUUUCUACUCAUUUACUACAGUAGACAAUACUUACUCAUUUCUGCAAGCUUUUGCUGGAAUUUGGACUCUCCAGGUAGGUGUUUGCUGCGGACAGAAAACAUUUAAUUGAAGCAAGUAGCAUGUUCUUUUUAUUUUUGUCUAAAUAAAGCAAGUUACUAACUGUGGUUAGUUCAUGUCAGCUCCGUCACCACCUUUGUCUGGUUUCUUCUAAAAAAUGCAAACCUAGCCCUAGUAUUUUUUUCCUGCAUACCAAAGCUGAUUCAAGAGUUGUUAGCUUUCUAAUCCUCAAUUUUAUCCUCAGUUUUGCUAAGUUUGACCAAAGCCACUUGAAACAGUAGUUUAAUACCCAAUUCUGGUCCAGCAGGAGAAACUCUUGCUCCUGACACUAGAGAGGUUCAGAUUCAAGAAGCACUAGGCUAAAAUCUAUCACUAAAUAUUUUAUAUUAUUCCAUAUACUAGGUGAGAGAGGUAAUAUCUUGUAUUGGACCAACUUCUGUUAGCGAGAGAGACAAGCUUUCGAACUUACGCAGAGCUCUUCUUCAGGUCUGGGAAACAAAACAAUGGAAAAUACUGAAUUUUGACAACACAGCUACAACACUGCAUACGUACAUUAGCUAAGACAUAGUACCUCUGUAUGAUGGUAGCUUGUUUGCUUUGUUAUUAUUUUGCUAAACCUUAUGUUAUAGGCCUCCAGAAAUAAAAGUACAUGUAGCUUCAUGACAAGUUAAGAACUAUAUCCUACCUUCCAUCUGCCUCAUCCUGUCCUUCUAUAUCAAAGCGAAGUCUCUUCAGUGGUUUAGGAGCAGUGCUUACUUCAGCACUACGUUUCAGCUGACGGUCACUGCUACCAACCAUUUGGUUUAUUUUCUGAAACUUCUCAGAAGUCUAGGGUUACAAGAAGACCAUAAAAAACAUUCCCAGUAAACUAUGUACAUUUUCCAGACUACUAGCCAAAAAUCAAUUUUUCAGAGUUCUAUAUAUCUGCUGUCUUUUAAGGGCUCUUUAAAACUUUUCCUAACUACCCUAAUAUAACAUGGAAUAUUUUUUUAUAAAUUCAGGCUAUUUCAGAGAUGCUAGCAAGUGCCCCAGCAAUCUUUGUUUACAAAUUCCACAAGACACUCAACUAAAGCAGUGACACUGACCAGUUCUACAAAACAGGAAACAGCACAUUCCUUCCAGUAUUUUUAAUAUACACAUACACACACACACACACACACACAAGAUUUGACAUUCAAAAACUUUCACUCACCCCAAAUGAUUCACCAAUUGACACCAGGAUUCUGUCAAGACAAACAAGAUGAUGACCUUUAAAGAUUAAGCAUUAUUUAUCAGUGAAAAGAUAGAAACACUCACAAACUUGCACAAUUUGGCAUGAAGACUAGUGAAGAGAAUAUAUGCUUUCUAAGACAUUGGCAUACUAAACUAAAGAAAUCACUCCUUUAUCUCUUAAAAAUAUGCUAAGCAUUCAAUGAGGGCAAAAUAUUCACCACAACCUUAAUUUCUUCUUAAAUUUUUAUAAUUCUAGACAGAAUUGUAGAGGAAGCACUGAACCACCAAAUCAGAAUCACCUUGAACUGCACGUGGAAGAGAAAUUGUGGAAUGGAGAGAAUUAGAGGCCCACUUAGUCCAUUCCAUGCUUUUUGACAGGAACACCCCCUUCUCAACAGGUGAGUAGCCCAGACAUGCCCUUCCUUUGAUCAUUACCUUUAGAUGUUUGCUAACCAAUCAUAGCAGGAGUUUAACCUAAAACAAACAAUGAUUUGUAAUUUUUUCAGUGUCCAUGCCCAUGCAAUCCUUGGCCUCUGUGCUGAGCCUUCCCACGAAGGGCCUGUUGUGAUGGUGUUCACUGGGCACUAGAUUAAGACAACAAACUCAUUUUGCAUAGGCCAAACAGCCAGAGUGUGGCAAUGGAUGAUGUUCAAUUGCUACCAUCCCUGGCUGAAUCAAAAACUAGUAGCAUAAAGCUAGACUGCUGACCCAUUACGAAUCCUCUGAGCCAUCAGUGCACAUUCUGGUUGCACUGAAGUAGUUCACAUUUUACAUGAAUAUGAUAUACAUAGACAGUGAUAAUAUAUAACAAAUCAAAUGAGGCACAUUGAAGAAGAGAUGUUUCUAUUUCAUCUUAUGAAGACUAAAUCCAUCUUCCAGUGGAUUAGUUGCCAACUAAAAGGCCUCCCUCUAAGUAAAGGUUGCAAAAUAGGGCUCAAACUUUGGACCAAAAGAAAGAGCUAUAGCCAUUGAUAUCUAACAAAAUCACAAGUGUAUAAUUUCCUAACUUGCUUGAAUGAAAUGCUUAUUUGUUACUGUCA